UAUUGAUCACAUUUGAUAAACAAGCUAUGAUCGUUGGAGAGUACCCCUCAGAUAUAUAGGUUAAUUUGACUCGAUUUUGGUGCUUUGAUCUGAAGGAUUGGUUUGUGAUACGUCAUUGAUUCAUCGUUGACACAAAUAUGAAAGCACACUAGAAAGAUAAACAUAGGAGAUCAUAGCUGAAGGGUGGGUUUCCAACGACGGUGGUGUGCUGCCUUUCUUCCAGUGUCGACAAGAUGGCUAGUUUGUCGCCCCGUAACCCUGGUGGUGGGCUCCCAUGACUGCCUCCUGGGUUACCUACCACUUAGGUGAGUCCCUGAUGUCCUUUUCCUUUGGCUACUCUUGUCUUUCUUAAUCUUUGUUGUUUUCUGGUCUAAGACUCAGAGAUGGGAUGAAUUCAUGAUUGUUGAAUGCUUAGAAACUAGAAAAUGGCUCUGUAGGA